rnacentral:lncRNA from 1 species
AACGUGCCACCCCACCAACUGAGUCGAGGGAAACCAGGGCCUUGGAUUGCAGAAGCAGCAAGGAGGGCUUGACCUGCUCACCCUAAGGAAAUGCCACUAACAUGGGCCUGGGUAACCUUGGAGUUGCUGUUGGGCUGGGCAGGGCUGGGAUUUAUUCCUUCAGUCGUUCAAGUGCUGAGUCGUGCACUUGGCCAUCAGGGCAGGGUUGCAGGACGGUGGUGGGGGAGAGGGAAGGAGAGCAGGGCCCCUUCAGGGCUGUCUUAGCUCUAGGCUCUCCCCGUUAGUGCUGGCUCAUCAGCCACUCAGGUCCAUGCAUCAGGGACACCAAAUAUCUAAAAU